UUAUGCAUGCAAGUCGAACGAUGAAGCAGAGCUUGCUCUGUGAAUUAGUGGCAAACGGGUGAGUACAAGAUAGGCAACCUACCUCGAAGACGGGAAUAUACGGCAGAAAUGCCGGGGAAUAGCCGAUAAUGUCUCUUCCUUCAAUGGUUGAGAAGAAAGGUGCAAACCGCUUUGAGACGGGCUUAUCUCCUAUCACGGCAGUUGGUAAGGUAACGGCUUACCAAACCUACGACGGGUAGCUGGUCUGAGAGGACGGUCAGCCACAUUGGGACUGAGACACGGCCCAGACUCCUACGGGAGGCAGCAGCCGGGAAUAUUCGGCAAUGGGCGAAAGCCUGACCGAGCGACACCGCGUGAGCGACGAAGGCCUUCGGGUCGUAGAGCUCUUUUAUUUGGGAAGAAUGCAUAGUAAUAUGUUUGACGGUACCAUUUGAAUAAGCCCCAGCUAACUACGUGCCAGCAGCUGCGGUAAUACGUAGGGGGCAAGCGUUAUCCGGAAUCACUGGGCG
rnacentral:rRNA from 1 species